rnacentral:rRNA from 1 species
GACGAACCGUGCGAACGUUAUUCGGAAUCACUGGGCUUAAAGCGCGUGUAGGCGGGUCGGCACGUCGGGAGCUGAAAUCCCCCGGCUCAACCGGGGAAGGGGCGCCGAUACGACCGGCCUGGAGGGACGUAGGGGGGCUGGAACUUCCGGUGGAGCGGUGAAAUGCGUUGAGAUCGGAAGGAACGCCCGUGGCGAAAGCGAGCCCCUGGACGUCUACUGACGCUGAGACGCGGAAGCCAGGGGAGCGAACGGG